rnacentral:rRNA from 1 species
AUGAACGCUGGCGGCGUGCCUAAUACCUGCCAGUCGAGCGAACAGACGAGGAGCUUGCUCCUCUAACGUUAGCGGCGGACGGGUGAGUAACACGUGGAUAACCUACCUAUAAGACUGGGAUAACUUCGGGAAACCGGAGCUAAUACCGGAUAAUAUAUUGAACCGCAUGGUUCAAUAGUGAAAGACGGUUUUGCUGUCACUUAUAGAUGGAUCCGCGCCGCAUUAGCUAGUUGGUAAGGUAACAGCUUACCAAGGCAACGAUGCGUAGCCGACCUGAGAGGGGGAUCGGCCACACUGGAACUGAGACACGGUCCAGACUCCUACGGGAGGCAGCAGUAGGGAAUCUUCCGCAAUGGGCGGAAGCCUGACGGAGCAACGCCGCGUGAGUGAUGAAGGUCUUCGGAUCGUAAAACUCUGUUAUUAGGGAAGAACAAAUGUGUAAGUAACUAUGCACGUCUUGACGGUACCUAAUCAGAAAGCCACGGCUAACUACGUG